rnacentral:other from 1 species
UGCCUUCUGGGGUAUUUGCCAGUUUAUUCAUGUCCCUGGCCGAUGCUUUACCUUUAGGAAGUUGAGAUCACAACUAUUGCGCAAGCUCGGCGUAGUAUCGAGAAGCCUACGGUUGUGGCGAUUCUUCCGCCUUGAACUUUUCGGUUCAAGGGCGAACAAUAGACAGCGGUAUCCUGGAAGGCGC